rnacentral:rRNA from 1 species
CAAGUCGAACGGAAUCCAUGGUGUAGCAAUACACCGGAAGAUUUAGUGGCGAACGGGUGAGGAUCACGUGAGAAACGUGCCCCAGACUCUGGGAUAACAAUUGGAAACGAUUGCUAAUACCGGAUGACGUCGGAGAAUCGCAUGAUUCACUGACGAAAGAUAUUUCGGUUUGGGAGCGUCUCGCGGCCUAUCAGCUUGUUGGUGGGGUAAUGGCCUACCAAGGCAACGACGGGUAGCUGGUCUGAGAGGAUGAUCAGCCACACUGGGACUGAGACACGGCCCAGACUCCUACGGGAGGCAGCAGUGGGGAAUCUUGCGCAAUGGGCGAAAGCCUGACGCAGCAACGCCGCGUGCGGGAUGAAGGCCUUCGGGCUGUAAACCGCUUUCAGCAGGAACGAAAAUGACGGUACCUGCAGAAGAAGGAGCGGCCAACUACGUGCCAGCAGCCGCGGUGACACGUAGGCUCCAAGCGUUGUCCGGAUUUAUUGGGCGUAAAGAGCUCGUAGGCGGUUGAGUAAGUCGGGUGUGAAAACUCUGAGCUUAACCCGGAGACGCCAUCCGAUACUGCUCUGACUAGAGUUCAGGAGGGGAGUGGGGAAUUCCUAGUGUAGCGGUGAAAUGCGCAGAUAUUAGGAGGAACACCGGUGGCGAAGGCGCCACUCUGGACUGAAACUGACGCUGAGGAGCGGAAGCAUGGGUAGCAAACAGGAUUAGAUACCCCUGGUAGUCCAUGCCGUAAACGGUGGGCACUAGGUGUGGGUUCCAACUAACGGGAUCCGCGCCGUCGCUAACGCAUUAAGUGCCCCGCCUGGGGAGUACGGGCGCAAGACUAAAACUCAAAGGAAUUUGACGG